rnacentral:lncRNA from 1 species
CUGAAUGCCAUAGAGGAGAGGUAGCAGUGGCAGCAUCUAUAAUUUGUGAUUCACUACCACCUUCAAUAACUGGAAGAAUUUGCUUGUUUUAGUAGUUUUUUCAGACAUAUGGUCUGAUCGAAGACGAUCACAUGAAUCAAGGAGGCCACAAAAGUGUAUCGACAAAAAAAUGUAGUACCUAUGCUAUUUAGAAGAAUACAGAUAAUUUCUGCACAUGUUAUGAAAAUCGUAACCUAUGCCUCCAAAACAUCAAAUGUAAACUGGAAGAUAAACAGAACUACAGUAAUUUGACAGCACACAUUAACCCGUGUCCUACCUCUUCUACUAAGGACACACACACACAUAUGGAAAAGCAAAAAAAAAGCAGAAAAGCAAAGCGAUGAUAGGCAACAAUCACAAAAUCCAUAGGAUUACUAUAUAAUACAAUACAGAAUAGAAAUGGGAAAUGGGAGCACCGGUACCCGCAGUGGCAUCAAGCUGCGCCGUUUCGCUGGGCACGACGGGGUGUACUUUGGGGAGCUUACGGUGGCCGCGCUUGACGGAGGUAGAGCCGUCGCCGGCGAGGGUGGGGAUCGGAGACGUGUCGCACUCGGUUUUGGCCUUCAUGGGCAGACGGUCGCAAGCCUUAGCAUCUGUGCAUCGACCUGCUUCAUGGCGGCUUCCAGCGGGGGAGGGGGAGGACGGGGGAGGAGCUCAAGCUCCUGGAAGCUUCGCGUAAUGGAGAGAGUGGGAGGGCUGCGUCGGCGGCACAAGGGAUUGGGGAAGCUUCACGACGGACGAGGAGUGGGAGGGCUGCGUCGGCGGCACAAGGGAUUGAGGAAGCUUCACGACGGACGAGGCGCCAGUGUUGC